rnacentral:tRNA from 1 species
GGAGAUUUAGCUCAGUGGUAGAGCGCUUGCCUAGGAAGCUCAAGGCCCUGGGUUCGGUCCCCAGCUCCG